CUACACACCCCAUGAGCUCGAUCCAAUCCACGCACACGAGUUGCCUGAGUAGCGACAGGUAUACCGAUGUGCAAUACGUAUCCGGCCAUAGGCACGGAACGAACAGGAACUGUGGUGCAGACAUACAAGGGCCAUGGGGCGGUACGCAAAGGAUACGGAUGAGCGAGUAUGCAGGCCCAAUACUCAAUAGCUCGAUCCGAUCCAAGCACAUGAGUUGACUGCGGCGCCAGGUUAACCGAUGUGCUAAGAGAGUUGUUCCUGGGCCUUCAAAGUGACUUCAAAACUAUCUUAGCGAAUGGUGGCCAUGGGCGUAGACAUGAGCCACAAGUCACAAGGCCUGGGACUAUUGGGUAAUAAAGACAACUUAGUCAGAAAGUUAGUCUUUGGAC